rnacentral:tRNA from 1 species
CGUAGCUCAGUGGUCAAAGGGCCUGUCUCCAGGCGGGACGUUCUUGGGUUCGAAAUCGGCC